AACUUUCAACAACGGAUAUCUUGGUUCUGGCAUCGAUGAAGAACGCAGCGAAAUGCGAUAAUUAAUGUGAAUUGCAAAAUUCACUGAAUCAUCAAAUCUUUGAACGCACAUUGCGCCCAUUAGUAUUCUAGUGGGCAUGCCUGUUCGAGCGUCAUUUCAACCCAUCAAGCCCUAUUUUUGCUUGGCGUUGGGAGAACGCGGGGCCCUGGUGCCCCGCGCCUCCUUAGAUCCAUCGGCGGAGUCGUAGCGACCCAAGCGUAAUAAUUUUUCUCGCUUUACGUGUUUUGNUGACGGCGUCUAGCCGCUAAACCCCCUAUUCUCUUUAGGUUUGACCUCGGAUCAGGUAAGAAUACCCGCUGAACUUAAGC
rnacentral:rRNA from 1 species